AUUGAACGCUGGCGGCAGGCCUAACACAUGCAAGUCGAACGAGUGGCGGACGGGUGAGUAAUGUCUGGGAAACUGCCUGAUGUAGGGGGAUAACUACUGGAAACGGUAGCUAAUCCCGCCUACCCUCAGGUGUUCCCCGCGGGGAUUAGCUUGUUGGUGGGGUAACGGCUCACAAAGGCGACGAUCCCUAGCUGGUCUGAGAGGAUGACGAGAGACACUGGAACUAAGACCCGGUCCAGACUCCUACGGGAGGCAGCAGUGGGGAAUAUUGGACAAUGGGCGCAAGCCUGAUGCAGCCAUGCCGCGUGUGUGAAGAAGGCCUUCGGGUUGGAAAGUACUUUAAGCGGGGAGGCGUUACCCGCAGAAGAAGCACCGGCUAACUCCGUGCCAGCAGCCGCGGUAAUUC
rnacentral:rRNA from 1 species